rnacentral:rRNA from 1 species
GACGAACGCUGGCGGCGUGCCUAAUACAUGCAAGUAGAACGCUGAAGAGAGGAGCUUGCUCUUCUUGGAUGAGUUGCGAACGGGUGAGUAACGCGUAGGUAACCUGCCUUGUAGCGGGGGAUAACUAUUGGAAACGAUAGCUAAUACCGCAUAACAAUGGAUGACACAUGUCAUUUAUUUGAAAGGGGCAAUUGCUCCACUACAAGAUGGACCUGCGUUGUAUUAGCUAGUAGGUGAGGUAACGGCUCACCUAGGCGACGAUACAUAGCCGACCUGAGAGGGUGAUCGGCCACACUGGGACUGAGACACGGCCCAGACUCCUACGGGAGGCAGCCGUAGGGAAGCUUCGGCAAUGGGGGCAACCCUGACCGAGCAACGCCGCGUGAGUGAAGAAGGUUUUCGGAUCGUAAAGCUCUGUUGUAAGUCAAGAACGAGUGUGAGAGUGGAAAGUUCACACUGUGACGGUAGCUUAACAGAAAGGGACGGCUAACUACGUG